UACAGAGGGUGCAAGCGUUGUUCGGAAUUAUUGGGCGUAAAGGGCGCGUAGGCGGUGCGGUAAGUCUGCGGUGAAAUCUCCCGGCUCAACUGGGAGUCUGCCGUGGAAACUGCCGUGCUUGAGUGUGGGAGAGGUGAGUGGAAUUCCCAGUGUAGCGGUGAAAUGCGUAGAUAUCGGGAGGAACACCUGUGGCGAAAGCGGCUCACUGGACCACAACUGACGCUGAGGCGCGAAAGCUAGGGGAGCAAACAGG
rnacentral:rRNA from 1 species